rnacentral:rRNA from 1 species
AGGUAGUGACGAGAAAUGACAGUGCCGUAAUCAGAUGAUUCGGCUACUGAAUUGAGAACGAUGAAAGAAUGUUAUCGAAUAUCUAUUGGAGGGCAAGUCUGGUGCCAGCAGCCGCGGUAAUUCCAGCUCGAAGAGCGUCUGUUAAUGUUGCUGCGCUUGAAACGCUCGUCGUUGAAUCUCUGGCAAUUGCCUACGGACACUUCUAUUGUGGUACCGUAGGAAAGUGCCUUUUUGUAUCUAUUCGUCGUUGAUUCACUUAAUUGUGUGUCACGUUCGAGAGCCACUUUCACUUUGGAGAAAUCAGUGUGCUCAUAACAGGCUUAUGCCUGCAUAUAACUGCAUGGGAUGAUGAAACUGGGCCUUUGACUCGUUUCGUUGGUUUACGAUUGCAAAGGCCAUGAUUAAUCGGGACAGACGGGGGCAUUCGUAUUGCGUCGAUAGAAGUGAAAUUCGGUGACCGACGUAAGACGAACAAUCGCGAAAGCAUUUGCCAAGAAUGUUUUCAUUAAUCAAGAACGAAAGUUAGAGUAUCGAAGACGAUUAGAUACCGUCCUAGUUCUAACUGUAAACGAUGCCAACCAGGGUUUCGUCAUAGCUUAUAUGCUUGACGAGCACCCUCCGGGAAACCUGAGUAAUCGGGUUCCGGGGGGAGUAUGGUUGCAGAAUCGAAACUUAAAGGAAUUGACGGAAGGGCACACCAGGAGUGGAGCCUGCGGCUUAAUUUGACUCAACGCACGAUAGCCGACUCGGUCCGAACAC